UUCCAGCAACAUUUGUGGGCAUGUGGCAUACCAAUGAUGCGGGAGAAGGAAGAGGAGGAAUUUCCAAAUACAGAUUCCUGAAAUACACACACACACACACACACACACACACACACACACACACACAUAUAUAUAUAUAUAUAUAUAUCCCUAAAAGUAUUUGUAGAAAGCACAGGAGACUAAUUAUGUAACAUCAGGAUGGAAAGAUUGCUUAAGCAAGACAGGAAACCCAGAGGCCAUAAAGAAAAAAACCGACUGUUUGAAUACUGGAACAUUUUGAACUUCUGAAUGAUGAAAUAUUUGAAACUUUUAACAGAGGAAGGAUGAAGAUGCCUCAAGUCAAGCACAGACCCCUGGAACCCCGUACCUGCUUCAGACUCUGACUCCUACUCCAUCCCUGGGUGUUUCAAAACACAUGGUCUUGUCUCUCUGCUGACAGAUGUCCAUGCUUAAUGUACAAAAAGUGCCUACGAAUAAGAACAACUUGAACAUCCCAACAGAAAAAUAGACAAGGAAUAUAAACAAAGAAUUCAGAGAAGAAAGGCAGAUGGCUAACAAGCAUAAAAAGAUGUUUGACUUCACUGUUGUCAGAAAAAUGCAAACAUUAAAAAAUUAAUAGAGCCCAGUACUCACAAAGAUAUAUGGAAGAGUACUCUCAUAAACCAUGAAUAUUCGAUCACUAUCUCCAUUUUAUGUGGAAGUUUACUGAGGCUUAUAGAUGUUAUCACUCGCCCAGGUCAAAUAACGAAGCUGCUACUGAGUAGCAGAACCAGGACUGCAGUUGAAGUCCACCUGGUCCCUAAGCCCGUGGUCCUUCCAAUUGCCAUGCUGCUCCCAGAAGUCAAAGGGGGACUUGGAGCAUCAACCAGCAUCAUUGCCUCAGACGGAAGGUGGUCCAGCUUCACCGACAGGAUCGCCUCUGUGUUCCCCUUGUGCCAUAUCCUCAACUGCAGGGUGUGAAAAAGGUGAUGUGCCUAUGGCCUUAUCCACGAUAUUCUGAGAGAAGCAAAGAGGUGUUCCUGGACUCUUCUGCUGAUGAUCAUGGCCCCAAGAAAAGACAAAUUCCUAAUCUAAAGGAGGGAAGUCAAGACUGUGACCUCCUUCCCCUUCCAAGAGGACCAUCCCUGCAUCCUUGCAGAGCUGAGAAGUCCUUGAGCCCUGUUGUCCUCUACAGGGAGUGGAGAAAAGGCCACAGCACAGAAUGUUUUGCUCUGGGCCCCGUCUCCUUGUUUUUCAUGUGCUGGUGCUGUUUUGGCUAAUUCCCUGGCCUCCUGCCUGAACCAAUAUAACAGCGCCACCCUAUCCUGGUUGACAUCCCGGACUUGGCUUCUCCUCUGUGGUCUCAUGGUGCUCACCUGAUGCUGUCUUCCUUAUACACCCUUCCGGAAUUUCUCAGUCAGGGCCCUUCUGGAUAGCCCUGUCCUGCCUGACAAACUGACACUGAAAAUUCCAAAGCUCUCAGGGGUCACUUUGACUCAACAUCCUAUCCCCCUGCACACACGAGCUGGUCAACUUAUAAUGACCCACCUCUGGAUCAUAAAUUCCCUGUGAGGGCACUGACCAUGUCUGCUUUGUCCACCAGUGGUAGGGCCUUGUACAUAGAUGUUUCCCAUAAGACUCUGGUGACUAAAUGAAUACUGGAUGAAUCCACUUAGAUUCCCUUCUCCCCUGCCACAUAUGACAGCUUACAUCUUUGCAGAUAAUCCGCUUGAGUAGUUUUUCUGUAAGUAACCAGCUAAUAAAUAUUUUAAGCUCAUAGGCAAGAAGCAAAUUCUAGGUUCUUAUAUAGGUACUUGAAAGGCAAAAGA